GGACGACGACGAAGUUCAGGUUGUGGAGGUCACGGUGUGCAGUUCUUCUUCACCAACGAAGAAACGUAAACGGGAAGAGUCACCACCAAAGGCUGUAGUCACUAUUAAUAAAGAUGACAGCAUUCUCCAGAAAGUAGCUCAGCUAAAAAGGAGGCUUGAAUUUUGUGACAAAGAGAAACAAGAACUUUCAAAAAGGUUCAAAGAACUUGAGGAACAGCUAAC